rnacentral:sRNA from 14 species
AGUUCCACCGGGUCCACCGAGCGGGUGACCACCAGGUAGUCGCGGAUGGCGAUGCCGUGCCGGUUUUC